CGGGGAGGUAGUGACGAAAAAUAACGAUACGGGACUCAUCCGAGGCCCCGUAAUCGGAAUGAGUACACUUUAAAUCCUUUAACGAGGACCAAUUGGAGGGCAAGUCUGGUGCCAGCAGCCGCGGUAAUUCCAGCUCCAAUAGCGUAUAUUAAAGUUGUUGCGGUUAAAAAGCUCGUAGUUGAAUCUGUGUGUCACGGUGUCGGUUCACCGCUCGCGGUGCUUAACUGACAUUACGUGGUACGUCCUAUCGGUGGGCUUAGCUCCUUGCGGGCGGUCCAACUAAUAUCCCAUCGCGGUGCUCUUUACCGGGUGUCGAGGUGGGCCGAUACGUUUACUUUGAACAAAUUAGAGUGCUUAAAGCAGGCUACCUUCGCCUGAAUAUUCUGUGCAUGGAAUAAUGGAAUAGGACCUCGGUUCUAUUUUGUUGGUUUUCGGAACCCCGAGGUAAUGAUUAAUAGGGACAGAUGGGGGCAUUCGUAUUGCGACGUUAGAGGUGAAAUUCUUGGAUCGUCGCAAGACGGACAGAAGCGAAAGCAUUUGCCAAAAAUGUUUUCAUUAAUCAAGAACGAAAGUUAGAGGUUCGAAGGCGAUCAGAUACCGCCCUAGUUCUAACCAUAAACGAUGCCAGCUAGCGAUCCGCCGAAGUUCCUCCGAUGACUCGGCGGGCAGCUUCCGGGAAACCAAAGCUUUUGGGUUCCGGGGGAAGUAUGGUUGCAAAGCUGAAACUUAAAGGAAUUGACGGAAGGGCACCACCAGGAGUGGAGCCUGCGGCUUAAUUUGACUC
rnacentral:rRNA from 2 species